rnacentral:rRNA from 1 species
AGUACAUGAUUCACGCCUGAGACCACUAUUAAAGAUUUAUCGGGGAAAGAUGAGCAUGCCUCCCAUUACUUAGUUGGUAAUGUAACGGCUUACCUACACUACGAUGGGUACGGGUCCUGAGAGGGAGAUCCCCCAGGCUGGUACUGAUACACGGAUCAGACUCCUACGGGAAGCCGGAGUGAGGAAUAUUGGACAAUGGGCGCAAGUCUGAUCCAGCCAUGCCGCGUGCAGGAUGACUGUCCUAUGGAUUGUAAACUGCUUUUAUACGGGAAGAAACACUGGUUCGUGAACCAGCUUGACGGUACUGUAAGAAUAAGGAUCGGCUAACUCCGUGCCCAUUGCCGCGGUAAUACGCAUGAUCCAAGCGUUAUCCGGAAUCAUUGGGUUUAAAGGGUCCGUAGGCGGUCAGAUAAGUCAGUGGUGAAAGCCCAUCGCUCAACGGUGGAACGGCCAUUGAUACUGUCUGACUUGAACUAUUAGGAAGUAAC